AUGCCAGAAUCUUUAGAAUUACCAGCGCUAUAUGCGCGUCACCACAGACUACUUAUAAUUGGGAAUUUUACUGCUAGUUUAUCGUCCCAGCACCGAAAGGCUCUAGGCAGAUUCCAGAAGAGGCUACCCAGAGUGCCGCUGGACCGGAGACCAAAGGAGAGCUGGAGAGGGAAGAGAGUGGAGGCGGAACUGGAGCCAGAUAGGACACCUCCACCCAGGGAAGCCCCACCCUACUGCGGAAGUGCAGUGAAUGACAUCUGUGAUGAACUCUAAUGAAGCCGCACACGGGAGCUGACGUCCACAGUCAGCAGGAGACACCACUGCAAACCCAGGACAGAAGUGGAGCAGGGUCUUCCUCAAACACUGGAGACUUACCCUCCCUUUGACCCAAAUAACA
rnacentral:lncRNA from 13 species